rnacentral:lncRNA from 1 species
GAUCCAAUGUGUGCAUUUUAAUUUUGCUAACUACGAAAAUCGAUCUCUAAGGAUCAGGCUAUCUUCUUUCAGAUUCUUCUUUCGUUUUUGACCACAAACCUGUUUUAGAGAGAGUGAAUAGCACCGAGAGUCGGUGCCACAAAGUGAUGUUCGCCCUCAUUUCGUCGGUUAGACAAAAACAUUUCCUACACGCUGAAUGAAUCACGUUUUUAGGCUCAUUCCUGUUUUUACAAUUCUCACAGAGCUCUCAGAGUAAGUGUGCCCUGAUGGGGCAUGUGGGGCAACGGGUUAUGAUGGCUUACGUUGACUAACUUUUCGGAUACAACUUUACUUCAUUUAUUAGUUUACGUUCAGUAAUACAAAGUUUUAAUUCUCUGAUUUCAGUGCCAAAAGAAUAAUCAACCCUCUAUGCGGAGCCAACUGGUAUGCUCAAAGUUGGUCGGUUCCAAGAAAUACCUACUUCAACUAUAUAGGCACCAACAGCAUCCAGUAUUUCAGAUUGCAUCCCAACUACUUCUUCAACUCGGAAGUGUUCAGAAUAAAGGUGCAAGGCUUCGGAUAUGGCAUGAUAAACGUGUGCCAUAGUCGGACGAACGAGCGACCCUCGGCGAAUAGCACCUACUUGCAGGACAUCACGUGUCGACAGAUCAACACGGACUCGUACAUCAUCGAGAUCGGAGAGCCGUGCGUCGAUUUCGACUACGCCAUCCAAUGUCCACCGCUCUUCAUCUCCGUUGCCUCCGGUCGGCCCACCAUUCAGCAAGCCUUCAGAUGCAACGAGGACAAUUGCAGAAACCCAGCUCAGAUCAAAUUCUCCAUCAGCUCAGAGGGUCUGACGUGCCACAGUGGAGCGGCGUCCAUGAAAAUUCACCCUCACUCAGUCAUCUUCGCCACUCUUGCGUCCCUUCUUGUGUUCUUUUCGAAAUCAAAAUUAGUUUAAGAACUUGGUAAUAGACAGCGGCAUGUAAAUCAUUCAUUACGUGCCUCAAACUUGGUCGUUGUUCCAACUGUUAAUAUGAAGCUUGAGGAUGUGAUUAUGCGUUGUGAUCUCUGCCGAGUGCCGAGUGACUAGAGAAGUCCUCGCGUUGUGACGUUUGAGUAAAGUGUGUCAUUAUGCUGUUAUUCCGCAUGCAGCUACAUCUCAAGUGAUAGUUUUCUUCCUUCAAUUUAAUAUCAUGUUACCUAAUUGUAUCGAUCUCUCUUCUACCGUUUGUCCUUGGGUCGUUUUAUUAAGCACGAAUGCAUAUUCCGAUUGAAUUUUGGAAUAGACGCACCCUAAUAAUGAAGGGGGGAGGGGUACUUAUAAUGAAUCCGUCCAGCAAAAGCUCCCUAGCGGAUGAAAAAAACGAUCGACGUAUGGACUGAAUUAAACAGAUAAGAACCAAGUCACAUUUUAGGGGAAAUAGUCGCGAGGGAUGACUCUAGUUUUAAAUGACCACAAAUUUUCUUUUGUCAAAAUCCAAACGCAAAGAAAAAUAUUUUGAACGCAUCUCUGGUUUGUAACGAUCCUAGCGAGUUAGUGACGCUAUCUUUUGUCUUUUAUCUAUCGAUUCUAGAUGAUACAGAAUGCUUCAAAUGCUUCUUCUAUUUGCAGAAUCAACGGUUUUGAUGACUUUCAUUAAAUGAACAAAAAAUAUGUUGCUAACUUUCAAGAGUAGCCAUUGCCUUUGGCACUGAGUUUAGCGGAGAAAUAAAGCUUUUAAGCUCUUAUCCUUUUUUUUUAUUUCAGGAUGACUUGGUUUCUCUCUGUUGAACGUAAUUAUUAUUUGUAACACAUGCGAUAAUCAUCUACUACGCCUGCCAUCCUCUUUGAAGCACGUAGUCCAAAUAGACUAAUUGAAAAGAGAAUUGAACCUUCAGAUUUUUGUAAUCCCGUACUGCUCACACCAGGCAUCAUCCUCGCUUGUAAAUUUUGAGCAAAUUGAUUCAGAAACUUAUAAUUUUGUGAGUACUCCUAAGUCAAAAGAAACAUCUUUUGGGAUUCCCCAAAAUUUUUAAGAGGCCACCGUAAAAGGGGUAAGAACCUAAGUGGUUUCAGGGGUGGUGCAGGACUUUUGGAUCACCCUGUAUACUAAAACAAACAGGGAAGCAGACGUAUGUCUAAACCUUGUAAUAUUUGUUCUUCACAAUUUCCUGCGAUUCUUAAAAUGCCGAAAACCAACGCAGUAUAUGUGCUUGUUCUUUAGACUUGGUGUUUCAAAGUUCCAAGCUCAGUACAACAAAUCAGCACGGAGUUCCCCUGCUUUCGAGCAAUAUGGUAACUGAUCCCCUUAAAAAGUUUAAACGUAAAAUGUUGCUUCAGCGGCAAGUUCAAAUCCAAUUCGAACUGAAGAUGCACGGUAACUAAUUUUAGACUUAAAUUAAAAUUUCGGAUCCUAAAAGUCCCUAUAAAAUGUUUCGCUGCUCGUUUAGCGCAAAUGCGUGCGAAAUGACUCAAAACUUUGAGGUAAGACCACAGGUUUGAAUUCCUGGCUCGAACAGACUACAAUCAAAGAAUCUGAAAUAUAUCUCUUCAUCUUCUUAGGGAGUUUAAGGGAUAUCGCAGGGUGAAUCCUAGUACACCAUGGGGAGGCUUGUUUACAGGAGUCUUAAUGAAGCCAUGACGAAACCAUCACCGCGUAUUCCCCUCCUGUUUAAAUACCUACCUCUAAAGGUCCAGAACCGGCGGAGAGUUUGACUGCCGUUUCGAAGAUCAAUUAAAUCAAGUUCAUAUACUUGAAUAUUUCUACUUUUUAUACAGUUUUGUAAUUCAUUUUAGGUUUAAAUUGCGUGAUUAUUAAUUCAUAUUCAUUUUUUGUAAAAUAAAAAUGGUUUAAAAGUCAAUUUUUCCAUUUCAAUUUAUUCUGUCUUAACAUUACCUCAAAAAAGCUUGGCCAGGGUGGCCUAAGACACCCUGUG